GAUGAACGCUGGCGGCGUGCCUAAUACAUGCAAGUCGAGCGAACAGAUAAGGAGCUUGCUCCUUUGACGUUAGCGGCGGACGGGUGAGUAACACGUGGAUAACCUACCUAUAAGACUGGGAUAACUUCGGGAAACCGGAACUAAUACCGGAUAACAUAUUGAACCGCAUGGUUCAAUAGUGAAAGGCGGCUUUGCUGUCACUUAUAGAUGGAUCCGCGCCGUAUUAGCUAGUUGGUAAGGUAACGGCUUACCAAGGCAACGAUACGUAGCCGACCUGAGAGGGUGAUCGGCCACACUGGAACUGAGACACGGUCCAGACUCCUACGGGAGGCAGCAGUAGGGAAUCUUCCGCAAUGGGCGAAAGCCUGACGGAGCAACGCCGCGUGAGUGAUGAAGGUCUUCGGAUCGUAAAACUCUGUUAUCAGGGAAGAACAAAUGUGUAAGUAACUGUGCACAUCUUGACGGUACCUGAUCAGAAAGCCACGGCUAACUACGU
rnacentral:rRNA from 1 species